GCAAUUUGUUUGGAAAUAUGUUUCUUUGAUAAAGAUUUGGUUUACCUGCAUUAUUAUCUUGCCAGGCCCUUGAAUUACAAUUGCAGGCUCUAUCCUUGGCUUAACCAACUUGUCUUUCAUGGAGUCCCCACUUCCUUUAUUCUCAGUAGUUCCCCAUUAGUUCAUUUCACCUUGGCCAUCUGCAUCAUACUAGACUUUCUAUAUCCAUGUCCCUUCUCUGCUUCCUUGGCAUCUAAAAUGUAACUUGUACCUCUUUGCUUUCUCUACUACCAUGUUUUCCAUUAGUGCCAUAACAUCUUCCUGCAUGUAUUAUAAUAUCCAGAUAAUUGCAUUGCAACUGAAUCACAGAUUUUUGGAUUCUCUUCAUUCAUUAGUGGCUCUCUUAUGUAUAAAUUUACCACAUAAUUUGCCUUUUUCAUUGCAGUAUUGCACUUCCAUGCUUAUCUAUAUCUGACUUCACCAACUAGCAUGUCUGUUAGUGAUCUCUCUUCUCAUCUUGCAUCAUCUGUAUCACGGACCUGUUCUAUUUUGUCACCACCAGUUGAGAGGAUCUUUUGGCAAUUAGCAUUGUGGCUCUAUUCUCCUUGAGAUUGUUGGAUAUCACUCGUAGCAUUAUGUCUUAUUACUUUAUGCCUUUUGUAAUGGUCAAUACUUCGCUUUGUUGAUUCUCUUUUGGGGACUAUU
rnacentral:lncRNA from 1 species